CCUACGGGGGGCAGCAGUGAGGAAUAUUGCACAAUGGACGAAAGUCUGAUGCAGCAACGCCGCGUGCGGGAUGAAGGCCUUCGGGUUGUAAACUUCUUUGACCAGGGACGAAACAAAUGACGGUACCCGGAAAACAAGCCACGGCUAACUACGUGCCAGCAGCCGCGGUAAUACGUAGGUGGCAAGCGUUGUCCGGAAUUACUGGGUGUAAAGGGCGUGUAGGCGGAUCUGCAAGUCGGAUGUGAAAUUCCCGGGCUCAACCCGGGCGCUGCAACCGAAACUGCGGAUCUUGAGUGUCGGAGAGGAAAGCGGAAUUCCCAGUGUAGCGGUAAAAUGCGUAGAGAUUGGGAGGAACACCGGUGGCGAAGGCGGCUUUCUGGACGACAACUGACGCUGAGGCGCGAAAGCGUGGGGAGCAAACAGGCUUAGAUACCCUUGUAGUC
rnacentral:rRNA from 1 species